UAGGGAAUCUUCGGCAAUGGACGAAAGUCUGACCGAGCAACGCCGCGUGAGUGAAGAAGGUUUUCGGAUCGUAAAACUCUGUUGUUAGAGAAGAACAAGGACGUUAGUAACUGAACGUCCCCUGACGGUAUCUAACCAGAAAGCCACGGCUAACUACGUGCCAGCAGCCGCGGUAAUACGUAGGUGGCAAGCGUUGUCCGGAUUUAUUGGGCGUAAAGCGAGCGCAGGCGGUUUCUUAAGUCGGAUGUGAAAGCCCCCGGCUCAACCGGGGAGGGUCAUUGGAAACUGGGAGACUUGAGUGCAGAAGAGGGGAGUGGAAUUCCAUGUGUAGCGGUGAAAUGCGUAGAUAUAUGGAGGAACACCAGUGGCGAAGGCGGCUCUCUGGUCUGUAACUGACGCGGAGGCUCGAAAGCGUGGGGAGCAAACAGG
rnacentral:rRNA from 1 species